GACGAACGCUGGCGGCGUGCCUAAUACAUGCAAGUAGAACGCUGAAGCGAGGAGCUUGCUCUUCUUGGAUGAGUUGCGAACGGGUGAGUAACGCGUAGGUAACCUGCCUUGUAGCGGGGGAUAACUAUUGGAAACGAUAGCUAAUACCGCAUAACAAUGGAUGCCACAUGUCAUUUAUUUGAAAGGGGCAAUUGCUCCACUACAAGAUGGACCUGCGUUGUAUUAGCUAGUAGGUGAGGUAAUGGCUCACCUAGGCGACGAUACAUAGCCGACCUGAGAGGGUGAUCGGCCACACUGGGAAUGGGACACGGCCCAGACUCCCACGGGAGGCAGCAGUAGGGAAUCUUCGGCAAUGGGGGCAACCCUGACCGAGCAACGCCGCGGGAGGGAAGAAGGUUUUCGGAUCGUAAAGCUCUGUUGUAAGUCAAGAACGGGUGUGAGAGUGGAAAGUUCACACUGUGACGGUAGCUUACCAGAAAGGGACGGCUAACUACGUG
rnacentral:rRNA from 1 species